GAAUAUUCUUGAUGGGUUGUAGCUGGCUCUCCGGAGCAUGUGCACGCCUGUCUUGACUUAAUUCAUCCACCUGUGCACUUUUUGUAGUCUUGGAGGUUGAGAGCGGUCGACUAUCGGAUGGCUGUUAUGGCCUUUCCGGAUGUGAGGAAUUGCUGAGUGCAAAAGCAUACAGCUCUUCUCAAAAUGACUCGCAAUACCUCUCCUUCAAGUACUAUGUAUUCAUAUACCACAUAGUAUGUUGUAGAAUGUGAUCAAUGGGCUUAUGGCCUAUAAUAAUGAAAUACAACUUUCAGCAACGGAUCUCUUGGCUCU
rnacentral:misc_RNA from 1 species